UAGGGAAUCUUCGGCAAUGGGGGGAACCCUGACCGAGCAACGCCGCGUGAGUGAAGAAGGUUUUCGGAUCGUAAAGCUCUGUUGUUAAGGAAGAACGAGUGUGAGAAUGGAAAGUUCAUACUGUGACGGUACUUAACCAGAAAGGGACGGCUAACUACGUGCCAGCAGCCGCGGUAAUACGUAGGUCCCGAGCGUUGUCCGGAUUUAUUGGGCGUAAGGCGAGCGCAGGCGGUUAGAUAAGUCUGAAGUUAAAGGCAGUGGCUCAACCAUUGUAGGCUUUGGAAACUGUUUAACUUGAGUGCAGAAGGGGAGAGUGGAAUUCCAUGUGUAGCGGUGAAAUGCGUAGAUAUAUGGAGGAACACCGGUGGCGAAAGCGGCUCUCUGGUCUGUAACUGACGCUGAGGCUCGAAAGCGUGGGGAGCGAACAGG
rnacentral:rRNA from 1 species